rnacentral:lncRNA from 1 species
UGGGCUUUGAGGAGGCUGCCCGAGGCCAUAUUAGGGAUUAGGGUUAGUUUCCGGCGGCCAUUCGAACUUUGAAGGCUAGGGUUAGAAGGUUUAGGUUUUUGGAUAUGGUUUUGGUGCAAGUUUUGUGUCAUUUGGGGUUUAUAUGAAGAAGUUAUAGGCGCUCAAAGUUAAGGUGUAAGUUUUCGACGUACUGUCACUCUUUUGAGCAUACCGCACGCGUACGGACAGCAAACGAGGAUCGGCGACCGGAUUUGAAGAGAAUACUUUUUCGGCUACAGUUUGUGCAUAUUGUUUAUCGAAUUCCAAGCUUUUAUGAAGGAGAUAUUGGGAGUUGAAGUCAGCGCAUGAUAUCUAAGGGUAGUAAGUAGCCCGAAUUCCUUGUGCUAGUGAUUUGAGCUAUAUCUUAGACAAUUUGAUGAGGUUUUAGCUCACAAUUUUCAAGAUUGAGUGUAAUCUUGUUAUAAAGCUUUCUAUACAAGUUUAGUGUGAUUUGGAGUUCGGGUUUUUGAGACAUAAGGAAAAUAGUUUUCGGGUGCUUGUAAAUUAGGGUUUGGAAAGUCUGCUAGAUGCCAGAUGAUCGGGAGUGAAUUUGCGGUUGGUUUUUUUUGUGGUACAAGUUAAGUAUAGCAUCUAGCUUAGAUAGAAAUUUGAAACAAAGUGAACGGUUGGAUCAACAUAUAUGAAUUUCCAAAGUCUGAUGUAAAAAAGUCUUUGGCGGGAAGAAAUAUAUUUUGAAGAAUUUCAAUAUAUUUUGAGUUUUUAUACAAAACAAAGACCUUUUUUUUUGGGAGCUAAGGCAUUAUAUACAAAGGAAACCUAAACUCUCUACAGCUAGAUACCCCGUGUAUUCCCAGAAUGAGAAACACGUCACACGACAGUGGAAUCUCUAUACCUUUAUUAAAGUCUUCCAUAUUCAUCUC